UGGCUUAGAUGGUAAAGCGUCUGCCUACAAUGCAGGAGACCAGGGUUCAAUCCCUG
rnacentral:tRNA from 1 species